GUUAACAAAAGUUCUUUGGAGACUAAGAGCAAUAUGAAAAUAACGCCUGGGACAAGUGAGAUGAGAAAAUACAUCUUUUGAGUAAACGACAUAACAAUCUAUAAGAUUGAUCAUACACAAAUUGACACAAGAGAAAAAACAAAAAGGCAAAAAGGCAAAAGAAGACGAAUAAGAAGUAGAUAUGAUAUGUUGGC